rnacentral:rRNA from 1 species
UACGAAGGGGGCUAGCGUUGCUCGGAAUCACUGGGCGUAAAGGGUGCGUAGGCGGGUCUUUAAGUCAGGGGUGAAAUCCUGGAGCUCAACUCCAGAACUGCCUUUGAUACUGAGGAUCUUGAGUUCGGGAGAGGUGAGUGGAACUGCGAGUGUAGAGGUGAAAUUCGUAGAGAUCGGGAGGAACAUCAGUUGCGAAGGCGGCUCUCUGGACCAGUACUGACGCUGAGGCACGAAAGCGUGGGGAGCGAACAGG